GACGAACGCUGGCGGCGUGUUUAACACAUGCAAGUCGAACGGAAAGGCCCUGCUUUUGUGGGGUGCUCGAGUGGCGAACGGGUGAGUAACACGUGAGUAACCUGCCCUUGACUUUGGGAUAACUUCAGGAAACUGGGGCUAAUACCGGAUAGGAGCUCCUGCUGCAUGGUGGGGGUUGGAAAGUUUCGGCGGUUGGGGAUGGACUCGCGGCUUAUCAGCUUGUUGGUGGGGUAGUGGCUUACCAAGGCUUUGACGGGUAGCCGGCCUGAGAGGGUGACCGGCCACAUUGGGACUGAGAUACGGCCCAGACUCCUACGGGAGGCAGCAGUGGGGAAUAUUGCACAAUGGGCGGAAGCCUGAUGCAGCAACGCCGCGUGCGGGAUGACGGCCUUCGGGUUGUAAACCGCUUUCGCCUGUGACGAAGCGUGAGUGACGGUAAUGGUAAAGAAGC
rnacentral:rRNA from 1 species